CAAGCGUGGAUGAUGUGGAUUAAUUCGAUGCAACGCGAGAACCUUACUACCCUUGACAUGUCCGGAACUUGCCAGAGAUGGCUUGGUGCCCGAAAGGGAAUCGGAACACAGGUGCUGCAUGGCUGUCGUCAGCUCGUGUCGUGAGAUGUUGGGUUAAGUCCCGCAACGAGCGCAACCCUUAUCAUUAGUUGCUACGCAAGGGCACUCUAAUGAGACUGCCGGUGACAAACCGGAGGAAGGUGGGGAUGACGUCAAGUCCUCAUGGCCCUUAUGGGUAGGGCUUCACACGUCAUACAAUGGUCGGUACAGAGGGUUGCCAAGCCGCGAGGCGGAGCCAAUCCCACAAAGCCGAUCGUAGUCCGGAUUGUUCUCUGCAACUCGAGAGCAUGAAGUCGGAAUCGCUAGUAAUCGCAAGUCAGCAUACUGCGGUGAAUACGUUCCCGGGUCUU
rnacentral:rRNA from 1 species